rnacentral:rRNA from 1 species
GACGAACGCUGGCGGCGUGCUUAACACAUGCAAGUCGAGCGGUAAGGCCCUUUCGGGGGUACACGAGCGGCGAACGGGUGAGUAACACGUGGGUGACCCGCCCUCAGCUCUGGGAUAAGCCUGGGAAACUGGGUCUAAUACUGGAUAUGACUCCACGGUGCAUGUCGUGGGGUGGAAAGCCUUGUGCGGCUGAGGAUGGGCCCGCGGCCUAUCAGCUUGUUGGUGGGGUGAUGGCCUACCAAGGCGACGACGGGUAGCCGGCCUGAGAGGGCGACCGGCCACACUGGGACUGAGACACGGCCCAGACUCCUACGGGAGGCAGCAGUGGGGAAUCUUGCGCAAUGGGCGAAAGCCUGACGCAGCGACGCCGCGUGAGGGAUGACGGCCUC